rnacentral:rRNA from 1 species
UAGAGUGGCGCACGGGUGAGUAACACGUAGGUAAUCUACCCUUUGGCGGGGGAUAACGUUCCGAAAGGAGCGCUAAUACCGCAUAAGACCACGGAGUCUCCGGACGCUGUGGGAAAAGGUGGCCUCUUCUUGAAAGCUACCACCGAAGGAUGAGCCUGCGUCCCAUCAGCUAGUUGGUAAGGUAAUGGCUUACCAAGGCGAAGACGGGUAGCUGGUUUGAGAGAAUGAUCAGCCACACUGGCACUGGAACACGGGCCAGACUCCUACGGGAGGCAGCAGUGAGGAAUAUUGGGCAAUGGGCGAAAGCCUGACCCAGCCACGCCGCGUGAGUGAUGAAGGCCCUCGGGUCGUAAAGCUCUGUGGAGAGGGACGAAAACCCUGGUUUCAAAUAGGCUCCAGGCUUGACGGUACCUCUUUAGCAAGCACCGGCUAACUCUGUG